rnacentral:lncRNA from 1 species
GGAAGACCUCCAUCAGCUCGCCGCGCAGCGCGGCUGUAUUUGCGGCCUGUGCGAGUAGGCGCUUGGGCACUCAGUCUCCCUGGCGAGCGACGGGCAGAAAUCUCGAACCAGUGGAGCGCACUCGUAACCUGGAUCCCAGAAGGUCGCGAAGGCAGUACCGUUUCCUCAGCGGCGGACUGCUGCAGUAAGAAUGUCUUUUCCACCUCAUUUGAAUCGCCCUCCCAUGGGAAUCCCAGCACUCCCACCAGGGAUCCCACCCCCGCAGUUUCCAGGAUUUCCUCCACCUGUACCUCCAGGGACCCCAAUGAUUCCUGUACCAAUGAGCAUUAUGGCUCCUGCUCCAACUGUCUUAGUACCCACUGUGUCUAUGGUUGGAAAGCAUUUGGGCGCAAGAAAGGAUCAUCCAGGCUUAAAGGCUAAAGAAAAUGAUGAAAAUUGUGGUCCUACUACCACUGUUUUUGUUGGCAACAUUUCCGAGAAAGCUUCAGACAUGCUUAUAAGACAACUCUUAGCUAAAUGUGGUUUGGUUUUGAGCUGGAAGAGAGUACAAGGUGCUUCCGGAAAGCUUCAAGCCUUCGGAUUCUGUGAGUACAAGGAGCCAGAAUCUACCCUCCGUGCACUCAGAUUAUUACAUGACCUGCAAAUUGGAGAGAAAAAGCUACUCGUUAAAGUUGAUGCAAAGACAAAGGCACAGCUGGAUGAAUGGAAAGCAAAGAAGAAAGCUUCUAAUGGGAAUGCAAGGCCAGAAACUGUCACUAAUGACGAUGAAGAAGCCUUGGAUGAAGAAACAAAGAGGAGAGAUCAGAUGAUUAAAGGGGCUAUUGAAGUUUUAAUUCGUGAAUACUCCAGUGAGCUAAAUGCCCCCUCACAGGAAUCUGAUUCUCAC